UCAUUACCGCAAUGGAUAGCGCGUUGGACUUGAAAUUUAAAGGUCGUGUGUUAAAAUCGCACGGUGAAAU